GACGAACGCUGGCGGCGUGCUUAACACAUGCAAGUCGAACGGCAAUGCCCUGCUUUUGUUGGGUACUCGAGUGGCGAUCGGGUGAGUAACACGUGAGUAACCUGCCCUUGACUUUGUGAUAACUUCAACAAACUGGGGCUAAUACCGGAUAGGAGCUCCUGCUGCUUAGUGAGGGUUGGAAAGUUUCGGCGGUUGGGUAUGGACUCGCGGCUUAUCAGCUUGUGGGUAGGGUAGUGGCGUACGAAGGCUUUGACGGGUAGCCAGCCUGAGAGGGUGACAGGCCACAUUGGGACUGAGGUACGGCGCAGACUCCUACGGGAGGCAGAAGUGGGGAAUAUUGCGCAGUGGGCAGAAGCAUGAUGCAGCAAGGCCGCGUGGGGGAUGACGGCCUUCGGGUUGUAAACCGCUUUCGCCUGUGACGAAGCGUGAGUGACGGUAAUGGGUAAAGAAGCACCGGCUAACUACGUG
rnacentral:rRNA from 1 species